GGUUUGAUUAUGGCUCAGGAUGAACGCUAGCGGGAGGCCUAACACAUGCAAGCCGAGCGGUAUAGAUCUUUCGGGAUCUAGAGAGCGGCGUACGGGUGCGGAACACGUGUGCAACCUGCCUUUAUCUGGGGGAUAGCCUUUCGAAAGGGAGAUUAAUACCCCAUAAUAUAUCAGAUGGCAUCAUUUGAUAUUGAAAACUCCGGUGGAUAGAGAUGGGCACGCGCAAGAUUAGAUAGUUGGUGAGGUAACGGCUCACCAAGUCUACGAUCUUUAGGGGGCCUGAGAGGGUGAUCCCCCACACUGGUACUGAGACACGGACCAGACUCCUACGGGAGGCAGCAGUGAGGAAUAUUGGACAAUGGGUGAGAGCCUGAUCCAGCCAUCCCGCGUGAAGGACGACGGCCCUAUGGGUUGUAAACUUCUUUUGUAUAGGGAUAAACCUACCCUCGUGAGGGUAGCUGAAGGUACUAUACGAAUAAGCACCGGCUAACUCCGUGCCAGCAGCCGCGGUAAUACGGAGGGUGCAAGCGUUAUCCGGAUUUAUUGGGUUUAAAGGGUCCGUAGGCGGAUGUGUAAGUCAGUGGUGAAAUCUCACAGCUUAACUGUGAAACUGCCAUUGAUACUGCAUGUCUUGAGUGUUGUUGAAGUAGCUGGAAUAAGUAGUGUAGCGGUGAAAUGCAUAGAUAUUACUUAGAACACCAAUUGCGAAGGCAGGUUACUAAGCAACAACUGACGCUGAUGGACGAAAGCGUGGG
rnacentral:rRNA from 1 species